CCGUCGGUGGCGGGGUCGCGCAGGUGCCAGUCGGGCGCCGGACCGGUGGCCGCGACGGGCGCCGGCGCUGGGGCCGGCGUGGCGGGC
rnacentral:tRNA from 1 species